UUCCAUGGUGACGGCAAACAAGGCCCACACUGCACAGGGCCGCAGCUGGGCUGCUACUCUCGCCGCCGCCAUGAUUCCCCCCGCAGACUCUUUGCUCAAGUACGACACCCCGGUGCUGGUGAGCCGGAACACGGAGAAACGGAGCCCCAAGGCUCGGCUACUGAAAGUCAGCCCCCAGCAGCCUGGACCUUCAGGUUCAGCCCCACAGCUACCCAAGACCAAGCUCCCCUCAAAUCCCUGUGUCCCAGAUCCUACAAAGCAGGCAGAAGAAAUCUUGAAUGCCAUACUACCCCCAAGGGAGUGGGUGGAAGACACGCAGCUAUGGAUCCAGCAGGUGUCCAGCACCCCUAGCACCAGGAUGGACGUGGUGCACCUCCAGGAGCAGUUAGACUUAAAGCUGCAGCAGCGGCAGGCCAGGGAAACAGGCAUCUGCCCUGUCCGCAGGGAACUCUACUCACAGUGUUUUGAUGAGUUGAUCCGGGAGGUCACCAUCAACUGUGCGGAGAGGGGGCUGCUGCUGCUGCGAGUCCGGGACGAGAUCCGCAUGACCAUCGCUGCCUACCAGACCCUGUACGAGAGCAGCGUGGCGUUUGGCAUGAGGAAGGCACUGCAGGCUGAGCAGGGGAAGUCAGACAUGGAGAGGAAAAUUGCAGAAUUGGAGACAGAAAAGAGAGACCUGGAGAGGCAAGUGAACGAGCAGAAGGCAAAAUGUGAAGCCACUGAGAAGCGGGAGAGCGAGAGGCGGCAGGUGGAGGAGAAGAAGCACAAUGAGGAGAUUCAGUUCCUAAAGCGAACAAAUCAGCAGCUGAAGGAUAAAGGAAGCUGACUUUGGUGGUGGGAGAAGGGGAGGGCUCCAGAGGGGGUCUCUACUCUCAACUCCAAAUCUCUGAGGCACCUCAGCCUGGCUCGCCAGUGGAGGAUUCUUCUCCCUGGAAAAAAGUUGCCCAUCCUCAAGGAAGAGGUGGAUAUGGCAAAAAGUGGAACUCCAUUCCCCUGGAAGCUGGCCCAACUGGAAGGCAUUAUUGCACCAAGGAAGUGAUAAUUUCCACAUGAUUAAUUUCCAACAAGACACUUGGGAGUUAUUUACUGUGUUCCUCUGGCAGCCAAUAAAAUCAUCAUAAGCCCUUUGUAAUAAAAAGCUGGUUUCCUGAGUGAACAAGCCAUACCCUCCCCUAAACACCACCUAGGUAUUUGUCAGAAGUCACACUGUUCCUCCAAUGUCCUCAAACACCUAAGGUCUGCCAGCCAGGCUGCUGGCUGGGCAAUGGAAGAUGGUGUGGCCCUGUUAGUCUCAGUAUGUGGCUUACUAGCUAGCCUUGGGAACUGCCAGCUCAAAUUCUAAGAAAGCCACUGCUUUCUCAUCAUCACUCUAUACCAAUACUUAUUUCUGGCCAAAUGAAUCUGCUUCUCUGCCCCUCAAACCUUUAGUUCACAAUUCAUCUUCUACCUUAACUCGGGCUUCUUGGGUCUCUGGCCUUCCUUACUUAAUGUCUUCUUUUCCCUACUCUAAUGCAUUUCUAACUCACUUUGGAGCUUUGGUUUUCUAAUGUAUUAUCCCCACUUGCCAGUCAACUGGACCCCUUCCUCCUCGGUUUCAGACUGCCUACGUUAGGAAACAAUGGCAGAGUCAAACCCAUGGCUUUGGAGAAAGUAAAUGUUUGCCAGAAAGGAAUACUAGUCACAGUGGCCUUUGUGAGUUGUCCACAACUCAGCUCUUCCCCCAGCACAGAUCUGUUCCCCUUAUCCUGCAGAAAAUCAAGCCCUGACUCUGCCCUCCCCUAAGUAGUGAUGUUAAUUAACAACUGAAGACGUAACCAAAUCUCACAUGCAGGUCUAAUGACUAAUGAUUGGAGUACGGCUGCUAGACAACUGCAUUUUAGUAUUCCUCUUCCACUCUCCUGGUUUUGUAGACCCAGAAGAUUGAAUGAGUGACAUAAAUCUUUAGUUUGGGGCAAGCCAGGGUGGGCUGGGGUGGUAAGCUGGAAGACUUCCAUCCUUCAGUCAGGCUGCACAAGUAACAUUACCUAAAACGCACUAACAUGCUCAGGUUCCCCAGAAAGAGGCAUGAGAAGGGACUCUCCUUAGCAGAGCUUCCGCCUGCCAUCUGUCGGGUUCAGUGAGCUUCAAGGCUCACAAUGGAAGCACUGUCGUUCCCCCAGAAAAGCUGUGUUCCCCAUGCUGAACACACCAUACACAUUCUCAUCUGGAAUCUAAGGGGCAGCUUUUACCCUGAUCCAGUAUCCUGAGGAAUUUUAAGGCUCCACUCAAAUGACCUGCCUGUGUUGUCAUUUCCAUGGGAAAGAACUCUUUCCACGAGAUCUGCUAGUUCCAGGUCUCUAAAACAGGAAUGUAUAUGCCAUAAGCGGGUCCACUUCAGACUCAAUGAGGCAGAAAUUACUGUAGUUUUCUAUUUCUUCCACACCCAACCUUCUCCUUGUAUUUCAAAGCCCAGGCCAUGUACACUAAUGUCCUUGAAAUUUGCAGUUCUGUAUGCUUCUAUUCCAAAUCAUUCAUUACCAAUAAAAAAGUACCACCCUUUCCAUUUUAUAGACCUCAUCCCCUAUUUCUGUCAGACAGAACUUCUUAGUUCAUCCACAGUCUACCUGAAGUGCUAGACUUUCAAACUCUUAUCACUGAAAUCCUUAAGGUUGAGGACGCUUUAUUUCCCUAGCACUGGUGAAGGGCUUCAACUGCCAAACCUCAGAACAAAUGCAUUAUGGCCUUAGAAAUGCCAACGGGGCAGGAAGAAAACACAAUUUCUAACUGCAUGUUUUUGUAUAAUUUAAUAAAAACCUUUUAAACAUUA